AUGAGGCAACUCCACCAAAAUCAUAAACUUCCAUGGAUUCUGUUGGGUGAUCUGAAUGAAAUUCAGUACCUACAUGAGAAGGAUGGAGGUAACCCACGCCCGAUACAGUAUAUGCAGGCUUUCCAGCAGGUUAUCGAGGACUGUGAGCUGCACGACCUUGGGUUUAUAGGUGACAAGUUCACUUGGCAUCGAGGGAGAAUCAAGGAGAGGCUUGACAGGGGGCUGGUAAACGACACUUGGUCGGUACUUUUCCCCCAUGCAGCUCUGCAAAAUAUGGAAUAUAAUCACUCGGAUCAUCGACCUCUGCUUGUGGACACAGAGUAUUAC
rnacentral:rRNA from 1 species